rnacentral:misc_RNA from 1 species
AAAAAAAAGAAUUAGGGGCUUCAUGGAAAGAACUUACCACUAUCAUAUCAUCUAUGUCCCUCCUCCAUCCACAAAGUAGAAUCUUCUGUGGCUUUCUUGCUGGUCGGGCAAUGUGUAUGAAUGAUGCUUCAUUGACCUGAAUGAUGAAAUUGAUUGUAUUAUGUAAGUUUUUUAAUUAUAACAUGCACCACUUGAAUUCCACAGAAGGCUCAUCCUAAUGUGCACAAACUGGAAAUCUGGAACAGGUUCCUUUACCAUGAAUGACUGGCCUGAGUGUGACUUACUGUUUUCUUUUUCCCCCCUUUACUGAUUUUUAUAACUCCAUUUACAUCAUUAAAAAGUUAACAAUAUCCUUUUAUGGUACUUUAGAAUGCAGUAAUAAGAACAACCAUCUAUAAGAUGAAACAUCACCAUAAUGCAAAUCCAAGAAUAUGGUAGCAUCAAAGAUACAUCAGAUGCAAUAAAUGCACCACGAAACAUGUACAUCAGCAAGAAGUUUAGGCAUGCAUAUGUAGCUAAUGAUAUAUUCCAUAUAGCCAGAAAGCAAGCAUAUGUAGCCCGUAAUAUGAUCCAUAUUGCCAAAAUGUGAAUACACCCAAUUAAUUUAAGUGGAUAUGCAUGUAUGCACAUGUGUGUGUAUGAGAGAGACAGAGAGAGAGAGAG